rnacentral:rRNA from 1 species
AGAGUUUGAUCCUGGCUCAGGACGAACGCUGGCGGCGUGCCUAAUACAUGCAAGUCGAGCGAAUGACGAGAAGCUUGCUUCUCUGAGUUAGCGGCGGACGGGUGAGUAACACGUGGGCAACCUGCCCUGUAGACUGGGAUAACUUCGGGAAACCGGAGCUAAUACCGGAUAAUCCAUUUCACCUCAUGGUGAAAUGUUAAAAGGCGCAUCUCGCGUCACUACAGGAUGGGCCCGCGGUGCAUUAGCUAGUUGGUGGGGUAACGGCCUACCAAGGCAACGAUGCAUAGCCGACCUGAGAGGGUGAUCGGCCACAUUGGGACUGAGACACGGCCCAAACUCCUACGGGAGGCAGCAGUAGGGAAUCUUCCACAAUGGACGAAAGUCUGAUGGAGCAACGCCGCGUGAGUGAUGAAGGUUUUCGGAUCGUAAAACUCUGUUGUAAGGGAAGAACAAGUACGCUAGGAAAUGAACGUACCUUGACGGUACCUUAUUAGAAAGCCACGGCUAACUACGUGCCAGCAGCCGCGGUAAUACGUAGGUGGCAAGCGUUGUCCGGAUUUAUUGGGCGUAAAGCGCGCGCAGGCGGUUUCUUAAGUCUGAUGUGAAAGCCCACGGCUUAACCGUGGAGGGUCAUUGGAAACUGGGAGACUUGAGUGCAGAAGAGGAAAGUGGAAUUCCAAGUGUAGCGGUGAAAUGCGUA